AGUGAACGCUGGCGGUAGGCCUAACACAUGCAAGUCGAACGGCAGCACAGUAAGAGCUUGCUCUUACGGGUGGCGAGUGGCGGACGGGUGAGGAAUACAUCGGAAUCUACUUUUUCGUGGGGGAUAACGUAGGGAAACUUACGCUAAUACCGCAUACGACCUACGGGUGAAAGCAGGGGAUCUUCGGACCUUGCGCGAUUGAAUGAGCCGAAGUCGGAUUAGCUAGUUGGCGGGGUAAAGGCCCACCAAGGCGACGAUCCGUAGCUGGUCUGAGAGGAUGAUCAGCCACACUGGAACUGAGACACGGUCCAGACUCCUACGGGAGGCAGCAGUGGGGAAUAUUGGACAAUGGGCGCAAGCCUAAUCCAGCCAUACCGCGUGGGUGAAGAAGGCCUUCGGGUUGUAAAGCCCUUUUGUUGGGAAAGAAAAGCAGCAGGUUAAUACCCCGCUGUUCUGACGGUACCCAAAGAAUAAGCACCGGCUAACUUCGU
rnacentral:rRNA from 1 species